GUCCCUUCCCCACGGAUCUCUCAAAGCAGAUCGCGUCCGACUAUCGGCACAGCUCCGGCUUUGACAGUCGCUGCUGACGGCUGAAGUCAAUACAAAAACGUGCCUCUCCCAACCACCAGCGCUCCCGAGCUCCUCUGAGCAGCUCUACAAACGCGCACCGAAUCAGAGGGGAGAAGUUGGGAAAAGCGGAGGGCGAUCGCACGCGGCGCGGCAGACUCCGCCCGUCCGUACCGAGGCCGCCCCGUCCCCGCGGCACCGCUUGCUUUGUAACGCCGUUAGCAGAGCCGCAAAACGCUCCGAGCCCAAAGCACUGCACAGUGAACGGAGCCGCGAUAAAGAAUGAGGGUUUUGGUUUUCUCCCGUUGUGAGCACACUGCUUAUACCACCACGAAGUACGGUUAUUUACCAUCGGACCCCCCCAGGACCGCGGCGGGAGGGGAUUCCACCGGAGGGUCCUGGGACGGAGGAACCGCAGCCGGGCUCCGAACGGGGCCUACAUCGAAGCGUUCCGCUCCUCCGGAACGUCCCCAAGCGGCGGACAGGGCACG
rnacentral:lncRNA from 1 species